UUAUAAAUUGCCAUUUGCCUAUGUGCUAAG
rnacentral:piRNA from 1 species